rnacentral:rRNA from 1 species
ACUCCUACGGGAGGCAGCAGUGGGGAAUAUUGCACAAUGGGCGCAAGCCUGAUGCAGCCAUGCCGCGUGUAUGAAGAAGGCCUUCGGGUUGUAAAGUACUUUCAGCAGUGAGGAAGGUGGAUAUGUUAAUAGCAUAUUCAUUUGACGUUAGCUGCAGAAGAAGCACCGGCUAACUCCGUGCCAGCAGCCGCGGUAAUACGGAGGGUGCGAGCGUUAAUCGGAAUUACUGGGCGUAAAGCGCAUGCAGGUGGUUUGUUAAGUCAGAUGUGAAAGCCCGGGGCUCAACCUCGGAAUUGCAUUUGAAACUGGCAAACUAGAGUACUGUAGAGGGGGGUAGAAUUUCAGGUGUAGCGGUGAAAUGCGUAGAGAUCUGAAGGAAUACCGGUGGCGAAGGCGGCCCCCUGGACAGAUACUGACACUCAGAUGCGAAAGGCGUGGGGGAGCAAACAGGAUUAGAUACCCUGGUAGGCUCU